UGCGCAGGUGGGGAUGUAAGUCAGUGGUGAAAUGUUGCCGCUCAACGGUAAAAUUGCCAUUGAUACUGCAUCUCUUGAGUAUGGUUGAGGUAGGCGGAAUGUGUUGUGUAGCGGUGAAAUGCAUAGAUAUGACACAGAACACCGAUUGCGAAGGCAGCUUACUAAGCCAUUACUGACGCUGAGGCACGAAAGCGUGGGGAGCAAACAGGAUUAGAUACCCUGGUAGUCC
rnacentral:rRNA from 1 species